rnacentral:rRNA from 1 species
UACGGAGGAUCCGAGCGUUAUCCGGAUUUAUUGGGUUUAAAGGGUGCGCAGGCGGGAGAUUAAGUCGGCGGUGAAAUUUUGCAGCUCAACUGUAAAAGUGCCUUCGAAACUGGUUUCCUUGAGUGUAGAUGAAGUAGGCGGAAUUUGUGGUGUAGCGGUGAAAUGCAUAGAUAUCACGAGGAACUCCGAUUGCGAAGGCAGCUUACUAAGCUACUACUGACGCUCAGGCACGAAGGCGUGGGGAUCAAACAGGAUUAGAUACCCGUGUA